rnacentral:rRNA from 1 species
GACGACGCUGGCGGCGUGCUUAACACAUGCAAGUCGAACGGAUCACAUUGCUUCGGUUUUGUGGUGAGUGGCGAACGGGUGAGUAACACGUGAGUAACCUGCCCCCUUCUUUGGGAUAACGUCGGGAAAUCGGCGCUAAUACUGGAUAUUCUGGUUUCCUCGCAUGGGGUUUCUGGGAAAGGUUUUCUGGUGGGGGAUGGGCUCGCGGCCUAUCAGCUUGUUGGUGGGGUGAUGGCCUACCAAGGCGGUGACGGGUAGCCGGCCUGAGAGGGUGUCCGGCCACACUGGGACUGAGACACGGCCCAGACUCCUACGGGAGGCAGCAGUGGGGAAUAUUGCACAAUGGGCGCAAGCCUGAUGCAGCGACGCCGCGUGAGGGAUGACGGCCUUCGGGUUGUAAACCUCUUUCAGUACAGAACAAGGCCUUCGGGUUGAGGGUAUGUGCAGAAGAAGCGCCGGCUAACUACGUG